rnacentral:rRNA from 1 species
UACCAGCUCUCCGAGUGGUAGGGAUGAUUAUUGGGCUUAAAGCGUCCGUAGCCGGCUUAGCAAGUUUCCUGUUAAACCCAGCGACUCAAUCGUUGGAUCGCGGGAAAUACUACUAGGCUAGGAGGCGGGAGAGGUCAACGGUACUUCUGGGGUAGGGGUGAAAUCCUAUAAUCCCGGGAGGACCACCAGUGGCGAAGGCUGUUGACUAGAAUGCGCUCGACGGUGAGGGACGAAAGCUGGGGUAGCAAACCGGAUUAGAUACCCGGGUAGUCCCAGCUGUAAACGAUGCGAGCUAGGUGUUGGGAUGGCUACGGGCCAUUUCAGUGCCGCAGGGAAGCCAUUAAGCUCGCCGCCUGGGGAGUACGGCCGCAAGGCCGAAACUUAAAGGAAUUGGCGGGGGAGCACCACAAGGCGUGAAGCUUGCGGUUC